UGGGGAAUAUUGGACAAUGGGCGAAAGCCUGAUCCAGCCAUGCCGCGUGUGUGAAGAAGGUCUUCGGAUUGUAAAGCACUUUAAGUUGGGAGGAAGGGCAGUAAGCGAAUACCUUGCUGUUUUGACGUUACCGACAGAAUAAGCACCGGCUAACUCUGUGCCAGCAGCCGCGGUAAUACAGAGGGUGCAAGCGUUAAUCGGAAUUACUGGGCGUAAAGCGCGCGUAGGUGGUUCGUUAAGUUGAAUGUGAAAGCCCCGGGCUCAACCUGGGAACUGCAUCCAAAACGGGGGGGCUAGAGUAGGGCAGAGGGUGGUGGAAUUUCCUGUGUAGCGGUGAAAUGCGUAGAUAUAGGAAGGAGCACCAGUGGCGAAGGCGACCACCUGGGCUCAUACUGACACUGAGGUGCGAAAGCGUGGGGAGCAAACAGG
rnacentral:rRNA from 1 species